CCUACGGGAGGCAGCAGUGGGGAAUUUUGGACAAUGGGCGCAAGCCUGAUCCAGCCAUGCCGCGUGAGUGAAGAAGGCCUUCGGGUUGUAAAGCUCUUUCGGCGGGGACGAAACCGUCCGUGCUAACACCACGGACUACUGACGGUACCCGCAGAAGAAGCACCGGCUAACUACGUGCCAGCAGCCGCGGUAAUACGUAGGGUGCAGGCGUUAAUCGGAAUUACUGGGCGUAAAGCGUGCGCAGGCGGUCUUUUAAGUCAGAUGUGAAAUCCCCGGGCUUAACCUGGGAACUGCGUUUGAAACUGGAAGGCUAGAGUGCGGCAGAGGGGGGUGGAAUUCCACGUGUAGCAGUGAAAUGCGUAGAGAUGUGGAGGAACACCGAUGGCGAAGGCAGCCCCCUGGGUCGACACUGACGCUCAUGCACGAAAGCGUGGGGAGCAAACAGGAUUAGAUACCCUGGUAGUCCACGCCCUAAACUAUGUCAACUGGUUGUCGGGGAAGCAAUUCCUUGGUAACGAAGCUAACGCGUGAAGUUGACCGCCUGGGGAGUACGGCCGCAAGGUUAAAACUCAAAGGAAUUGACGGGGACCCGCACAAGCGGUGGAUUAUGUGGAUUAAUUCGAUGCAACGCGAAAAACCUUACCUACCCUUGACAUGUCAGGAACCCUGCAGAGAUGCAGGGGUGCCCGAAAGGGAACCUGAACACAGGUGCUGCAUGGCUGUCGUCAGCUCGUGUCGUGAGAUGUUGGGUUAAGUCCCGCAACGAGCGCAACCCUUGCCAUUAGUUGCUACAUUCAGUUGAGCACUCCAAUGGGACUGCCGGUGACAACCGGAGGAGGUGGGGAUGACGUCAAGUCCUCAUGGCUCUUAUGGGUAGGGCUUCACACGUAAUACAAUGGACGGUACAGAGGGCAGCCAAC
rnacentral:rRNA from 1 species